rnacentral:lncRNA from 1 species
UGCACACACCACACAAACGGGGCUGGCAAAGGGAGCACGCACGGCAGCGGACCUUGAACCCUUGUGCAAAUUUACCAGGGGAUGUGGAAAAACAAACACCGAGGAGCCCGGAGAGAGCGGUGGUGGUGGUUAAAGCUACCUCUGAAUAGCAAUUUUCAAAUAGAGUUGGUAAUGAAUUUUGCAGCCAAAUGCUUUUGAUCAGUGCCCCUCUCAGGACUGGAUUUCACACCUCGUCACAGUCUGAAGCUGCACAAGAAAUCCUGGCUGGGAGAGCCACCACUUCCCUGAGCUCUCUCUUAGUGUGGGUAAACCAUAACUUGGCUGGCUCCAUGAUUUGAGUGUCAAAAGGAGGCCUUUGCAAGGCCCAUAGUGGCCAUGGCUUAGUGGGAUGAUGAGUAAGCAAUCCAAGAAGUGGAUUACUUCUUGGCCGUCAGCGCGCUGUGAUUUGCUUAUUAUCUUGCUUGCUAUAAUUAAUAAAACUUUUCUUUAAUUAAAUUUUAACA